rnacentral:rRNA from 1 species
GAUGAACGCUGGCGGCGUGCCUAAUACAUGCAAGUCGAGCGAACGGACGAGAAGCUUGCUUCUCUGAUGUUAGCGGCGGACGGGUGAGUAACACGUGGAUAACCUACCUAUAAGACUGGGAUAACUUCGGGAAACCGGAGCUAAUACCGGAUAAUAUUUUGAACCGCAUGGUUCAAAAGUGAAAGACGGUCUUGCUGUCACUUAUAGAUGGAUCCGCGCUGCAUUAGCUAGUUGGUAAGGUAACGGCUUACCAAGGCAACGAUGCAUAGCCGACCUGAGAGGGUGAUCGGCCACACUGGAACUGAGACACGGUCCAGACUCCUACGGGAGGCAGCAGUAGGGAAUCUUCCGCAAUGGGCGAAAGCCUGACGGAGCAACGCCGCGUGAGUGAUGAAGGUCUUCGGAUCGUAAAACUCUGUUAUUAGGGAAGAACAUAUGUGUAAGUAACUGUGCACAUCUUGACGGUACCUAAUCAGAAAGCCACGGCUAACUACGUGCCAGCAGCCGCGGUAAUACGUAGGUGGCAAGCGUUAUCCGGAAUUAUUGGGCGUAAAGCGCGCGUAGGCGGUUUUUUAAGUCUGAUGUGAAAGCCCACGGCUCAACCGUGGGGGGUCAUUGGAAACUGGAAAACUUGAGUGCAGAAGAGGAAAGUGGAAUUCCAUGUGUAGCGGUGAAAUGCGCGGAGAUAUGGAGGAACACCAGUGGCGAAGGCGACUUUCUGGUCUGUAACUGACGCUGAUGUGCGAAAGCGUGGGGAUCAAACAGGAUUAGAUACCCUGGUAGUCCACGCCGUAAACGAUGAGUGCUAAGUGUUAGGGGGUUUCCGCCCCUUAGUGCUGCAGCUAACGCAUUAAGCACUCCGCCUGGGGAGCACGACCGCAAGGUUGAAACUCAAAGGAAUUGACGGGGACCCGCACAAGCGGUGGAGCAUGUGGUUUAAUUCGAAGCAACGCGAAGAACCUUACCAAAUCUUGACAUCCUUUGACAACUCUAGAGAUAGAGCCUUCCCCUUCGGGGGACAAAGUGACAGGUGGUGCAUGGUUGUCGUCAGCUCGUGUCGUGAGAUGUUGGGUUAAGUCCCGCAGCGAGCGCAACCCUUAAGCUUAGUUGCCAUCAUUAAGUUGGGCACUCUAAGUUGACUGCCGGUGACAAACCGGAGGAAGGUGGGGAUGACGUCAAAUCAUCAUGCCCCUUAUGAUUUGGGCUACACACGUGCUACAAUGGACAAUACAAAGGGCAGCGAAACCGCGAGGUCAAGCAAAUCCCAUAAAGUUGUUCUCAGUUCGGAUUGUAGUCUGCAACUCGACUACAUGAAGCUGGAAUCGCUAGUAAUCGUAGAUCAGCAUGCUACGGUGAAUACGUUCCCGGGUCU